GCUAGCGCUGCUAGCACCGCGGGCAGGAGUAUCUGUAUGGCGAUAUCUUAGCUAACAUUUUAAACUUGCUGAAAAAGGCUGCCUGAAAACAUUUUGCUAUACUUUUGCUAACCCACCAGGGAAACAAUAACGUUAGCUGUCAGUUUAUCCUUCGAACGACAAAAUAUCUGUCGUGAACGUUAUGACUAAUUUAUUUUUAGGGAUCAGGUUGUAUUCUUAGCAUUAGCCUCUGACCAAAGGUCUGACUGGCCGACAUGGAGACUCGGGGGAUUGAAGACAUGUUUGACUUUCGUCGGUUUCCCAAAGAUGCAGUUGUCCUCCUGCUGUUGCUGGUUUACUUUCCAGUUGGCAUUUGUUUGACGUUAAUAAGGAUUUUUAUUGGUGUUCACGUGUUCUUGGUCAGCUGCGCUCUUCCAGAAAGUUUUGUUAGAAGAUUUAUUGUAAGGAUUAUGUGCUCAGUCCUGGGGAUGCAUGUCAGACAGAAAAACCCUCGUUCCAGAGACAGAAACACCAAGCUGUACAUGUGCAAUCAUGUGACAGAGUUCGACCACAACAUAAUCAACCUUCUGACCACCUGCAGUACUCCCCAGUUAGAGGGCUCCACAGGCUUUGUUUGUUGGGCCAGAGGCUUCAUGGAAAUCCAUUCAGCAUCAGGCCAGGAAGCAAUCGGAGAGUCUCUUCAGAGGUACUGCUCCACUGAAGGCACCCCACCUUUGCUGCUGUUUCCUGAAGAGGACACUACUAACGGCCGAGCCGGUCUGCUCAAGUUCAGUUCUUGGCCUUUCUCACUGACUGAUUCCAUUCAGCCUGUGGCCUUACGGGUGACCAGACCAUUGAUUGCUUUGAACACCCCAGAGUCAAGUUGGCUGAUGGAGCUCAUGUGGACAUUUUUUGUUCCAUGUACAGUGUAUCAUGUAAGUUGGCUCCCACCAGUAUCCAGACAAGAUGGCGAGUCCAUGCAGGAGUUUGCCAAUAAAGUCCAGGAGCUACUAGCCAGUGAGCUUGGCUUGGUCUCCACCAAGAUCACUAAAGCUGACAAAGCAGAGCACAUCAAAAGGAAAAGACACACUGCACCACAGACAUCUACAAGUGUCAGACCUGCCGCCAUUGGCCUUGGUUUCAUGGUCCAGAGUCUGGGCACAGAUGAUCAUAGGAUUGCUAAAAUGGCCCAGCAGGUGAAGGAUGUGCUGCCUCAUGUCCCAAUGAAUGUCAUUGCAAAGGACUUAGCAAAAACCAAUUGUGUUGACACCACCAUAACAAAUUUGCUGGAGAGCAAGGAGGAAACUCAGAUGGAAGCAACUGGGACGUCGACGUUUGGUCCUUCUAUGAGCAGCUCCUACUCCUCUGGCCAUGCUCCCACCAUAAAGCCUGCUGCCAAAUCUUUUGGGAGAUCACCAGCUGACAGACAUUUGUCUCUCCAGGAGAGAAAAGAAGCGCUGUAUAGUUUUGCAAGAAGCAGCACUGCUGUUCUCUGUGCCUGAAACACUGUGCUAGCUCCAGUCCUCCUUAAGGUCUCCCUCUGGAAAAUCCCUGCUCUGAUUGUUCAGCUCACACAGGCCUGAGCGCAGGCACUGUUCACUGGAUUUCCCAUCAGCUUUGCUAAUUUUUGCAGCACUUCUUCCAUGAAUAUCACCACAAUAACAGCUUCUAAAAUAAAACAGCACCGGAUGCACCUUUAUUAUUACCUGCAGGACGCUACAUUGAAAAACAUGGAUUGGAUCAAGAAGACAGUCACUGAAUACACUUUGGGUCAAGCCAUCAUUGAAAACUUGUCAGAGAGAAGCAUAUUCAACUUGCAUAGCUGUAUAAUUUGAAUGGUGAUUUUUAUAUUCUGUCAACAGGUUCUGUUGGAAAAACAGAUUUUGUUAAUUGCAAAUACGUAAUGGGGAGAAGUAUUCGGUACACGUAUACGUUGAUGGAAUGGUGAUUAUGCAUGUGUUUAAUUCUUCAUUCUGGCCGAUACAUAAUUUUGAUAACAAUUUGUAUUACGAUCCACUGACUGUGAAUCAUCUAUUUAUUUUUAUAAUGUCCAGAGUCGUCGAUAAAAAUAAAGUUCAGCUUGACCU